rnacentral:rRNA from 1 species
CCUACGGGAGGCAGCAGUGGGGAAUUUUCCGCAAUGGGCGAAAGCCUGACGGAGCAACGCCGCGUGAGGGAUGAGGGCCUCUGGGCUGUAAACCUCUUUUAUCAAGGAAGAAGAUCUGACGGUACUUGAUGAAUAAGCCACGGCUAAUUCCGUGCCAGCAGCCGCGGUAAUACGGGAGUGGCAAGCGUUAUCCGGAAUUAUUGGGCGUAAAGCGUCCGCAGGCGGUCUUGUAAGUCUGUCGUUAAAGCGUGGAGCUUAACUCCAUUUCGGCGGUGGAAACUACAAGACUAGAGUGUGGUAGGGGCAGAGGGAAUUCCCGGUGUAGCGGUGAAAUGCGUAGAUAUCGGGAAGAACACCAGUGGCGAAGGCGCUCUGCUGGGCCAUAACUGACGCUCAUGGACGAAAGCUAGGGGAGCGAAAGGGAUUAGAUACCCCUGCAGUCCUAGCCGUAAACGAUGAACACUAGGUGUCGGGGGAAUCGACCCCCUCGGUGUCGUAGCUAACGCGUUAAGUGUUCCGCCUGGGGAGUACGCACGCAAGUGUGAAACUUAAAAUGAAUUGACGG